rnacentral:rRNA from 1 species
UACGGAGGGGGCUAGCGUUGUUCGGAAUCACUGGGCGUAAAGGGUGCGUAGGCGGGUCUUUAAGUCAGGGGUGAAAUCCCGAGGCUCAACCUCGGAACUGCCUUUGAUACUGGGGAUCUCGAGUCCGGGAGAGGUGAGUGGAACUGCGAGUGUAGAGGUGAAAUUCGUAGAUAUUCGCAAGAACACCAGUGGCGAAGGCGGCUCACUGGCCCGAUACUGACGCUGAGGCACGAAAGCGUGGGGAGCAAACAGG